CAUAGGUUAAUGAGGCGAACCGGGGGAACUGAAACAUCUAAGUACCCCGAGGAAAAGAAAUCAACCGAGAUUCCCCCAGUAGCGGCGAGCGAACGGGGAGGAGCCCAGAGCCUGAAUCAGCAUGUGUGUUAGUGGAAGCGUCUGGAAAGGCGCGCGAUACAGGGUGACAGCCCCGUACACAAAAGCGCAUGUGCUGUGAGCUCGAUGAGUAGGGCGGGACACGUGGUAUCCUGUCUGAAUAUGGGGGGACCAUCCUCCAAGGCUAAAUACUCCUGACUGACCGAUAGUGAACCAGUACCGUGAGGGAAAGGCGAAAAGAACCCCGGCGAGGGGAGUGAAAAAGAACCUGAAACCGUGUACGUACAAGCAGUGGGAGCACCCUUUGGGGUGUGACUGCGUACCUUUUGUAUAAUGGGUCAGCGACUUAUAUUCUGUAGCAAGGUUAACCGAAUAGGGGAGCCGGAGGGAAACCGAGUCUUAACCGGGCGUUAAGUUGCAGGGUAUAGACCCGAAACCCGGUGAUCUAGCCAUGGGCAGGUUGAAGGUUGGGUAACACUAACUGGAGGACCGAACCGACUAAUGUUGAAAAAUUAGCGGAUGACCUGUGGCUGGGGGUGAAAGGCCAAUCAAACCGGGAGAUAGCUGGUUCUCCCCGAAAGCUAUUUAGGUAGCGCCUCGUGAAUUCAUCUCCGGGGGUAGAGCACUGUUUCGGCUAGGGGGCCAUCCCGGCUUACCAACCCGAUGCAAACUGCGAAUACCGGAGAAUGUUAUCACGGGAGACACACGGCGGGUGCUAACGUCCGUCGUGAAGAGGGAAACAACCCAGACCGCCAGCUAAGGUCCCAAAGUCAUGGUUAAGUGGGAAACGAUGUGGGAAGGCCCAGACAGCCAGGAUGUUGGCUUAGAAGCAGCCAUCAUUUAAAGAAAGCGUAAUAGCUCACUGGUCGAGUCGGCCUGCGCGGAAGAUGUAACGGGGCUAAACCAU
rnacentral:rRNA from 1 species